UACAGAGGGGGCAAGCGUUGUUCGGAAUUACUGGGCGUAAAGGGCGCGUAGGCGGCCUUCUAAGUCGAACGUGAAAUCCCCGGGCUCAACCCGGGAACUGCGUCCGAUACUGGAAGGCUUGAAUCCGGGAGAGGGAUGCGGAAUUCCAGGUGUAGCGGUGAAAUGCGUAGAUAUCUGGAGGAACACCCGUGGUGCAGACGGCUUGCUGGACCGUGACUGACGCUGAGGCACGAAAGCGUGGGUAGCAAACAGG
rnacentral:rRNA from 1 species